GUCGACCCGACUGUUUGUGUGCGUACGGAUUCGCACAUUUUGGCACACUGCCUUUUUCGUAACGAGCCCGGUUGAAAGUGAAAACGUCGGGGCUUCAGUCGACUAGGUUACGGUGCGCCGCGUGGAUCGCCAAGUUCUGCCGACUGACACGAGCUGACGAGCGAGAUUUGCGUUGACCUACUUUCGGGGCGGUGCGUUAUCAAGAGUGACCUCAAUUUCGGCGAUAUUUGCGGGAUUGCGGGUGGAAUAUCUACGCGAAACCGAGUUCAAAAUCCCGCAGUCCGACCCUGGCGUGGGGGUUCUAGCGCGCGCGUGAGUUCUUCACCGGUCGCCAUUUUCGGAUUUGCCGUCACGAUGCGGAUUGGAGGUUUUGGACCGUUUCUGGACCAGAUUUGGGACAUCCCAGGUCGCGUUGAAGGUUGCAAACGAUUUUAGGACCGGAUUUUGGCAAGAUCCCCCAGGAAAUGGACCCGUUUCAAGCUGUCCAGCGCCCUGCUGACGUCACAACAACCAGCGUGACGCUGUGUGCGUGAGCGGCCAAGUUUAGGACGGAACUACACUCCUUGGAGGACAUCCGAGGCGCUUUGGAGUUGCUCCGCAACUUCAGGACUGCAAUUCGGAAAGACACCGCCGGAAAUGGAUUGAUUCCAACCUGUUCAGCGUUCGUCGUGACGUCACGGCAGUGUGACGUCUCAACUCAGCGUUGUUGUCUGCGUGAGUUGCAAGUGUUAAGGUGAAGGCCUUACCGGGACACUUCCUGGAGAUCCGCUGCGCGCGACUUCAAUCUCCACAAAAAGGUUCUGCCACUUGCCACCGACUCCAGCGGCACCGAACUCAACUUCCGACAGCUCAACAGGUCACAAACCGGGAACCGGAGAUCCACAAAAGAGGCGGCAGCUCUAGUUUUUGCGUUACGCGCUAGCAGGAACUGACUGACUUGAAUUGAACAACUAGAAGCGUGAGCAACACCCGUGGUAUGUGAGCCGCCGCGGUGUGAGAUGAACGUGAGCAGCAAACGGUAGGUGGACGAGCAACCAGUACCUGCUGCUGCCGCCACUUCCCGGUUUCUUUGUGGUUUAAUUAUAACCGUGGGACGUGACCCCCGGGACAUUCUACCGAAGAGUACAACCCCAACUGCAGCUGUUUGAAAUGGUACGGCGGUGCAAUCGGACAGUCACAAAGGAAUGACAGGUUGCCUGAUUGCCAAAACAACUCGAGGACACAAGCAAUAUCUGACGGAGACGCAUGAUACUUCGUUCGCUACAAUCCUAGCGAAGUCAGCUUACUCUAAUCGCAAUGCAGUUGCACGAGCCAAACUCAGCUGAUAACACAGUUCCCAGCUGAUUAGCCUGCGUGAUUACGGGAACUCGUGCACCCCCGGACUAGAGACAUGUCCAGCAUCAUUGUAAACGAAACCGGUUCGCGCACCCUAAAUAGCACAACACCAAGCCAGUUUCCAUCCUCGCAGUCCGUCACCCUUAAUAGUUGAAACUAGUUUACCCGCAGACUAGUCACAAACCUCUGUGAGAGGUGAACAAAAAAACUCAUCCCGUGUAGUCCUGCGAAAAACCUUUAGCCAAAUUAGAAGGCAGUCGAAAAAAAAAACGAUUUAAAGGGUCUUCUCCCUUUCGGGACAGGUUGAUGCAGCUGGGUUUUGUUUUGCCCAAAUUCCUAGAAUUUGGGAUGAUCCCGGCGCAGCCGUGGAAUGCACCUUCAACGCCUUGAUCUUCUUUAAUCGCCCGGAUCGCGUCCGCAAGACUAUAAUUUUAAGCGAGGGGGUCAACGACGUUCGGAGCCCAAAACACGUGUUUUCUCUGUGCAUGCAACGCGCCCGACGCCAUCGACGGUGUCGGGCCCCGGAACCAACCAAUACAACCGGCCUCCGCCACCGUGUGCAUUAUCUGACGUUUGUGCACCAACAUUUGCAGCAAUUGUGCACGGCGGCUGCUGCAUGUGUAUUGAUGCACUUUCGCCCCGUCUCGCUCUGGCGAGAGUGAGAGAGCGCGCGCGAGCGCACACACGGCGGUUCCCGAGGGGCGCGGGGGCACUUGAAAAAUGGACGGACGGACGCGUUGCACUUUUCGGGGUUUCUUCGGCGACGACGACGGCGGUCGUCGUCGGGAAAGGCAAGAAAGAGCCGGCCGUGAGUGAGUGAGCGCGAAAAAACAAAAUGGUGGACGGCCGUCGCCGCCGAGAACGGGUUCGCAGGUUCCGGCCGGUUCCCCGGUUUUGGAGGUUAGGUCGGCGUUCCGGGGCUGAUCCAAUUUGAGGAGGCUUGCGAGCAUGGAAAAACGGGGGCGCUCACGCAAACACGCACACACAAACACGGACGUAGGCGGUGAAUUCCGAGAGACCCCCGUUGCCGCAUGGCAACAGGG